GACGAACGCUGGCGGCGUGCUUAACACAUGCAAGUCGAACGGAAAGGCCCUGCUUGCAGGGUACUCGAGUGGCGAACGGGUGAGUAACACGUGGGUGAUCUGCCCUGCACUUCGGGAUAAGCUUGGGAAACUGGGUCUAAUACCGGAUAGGACCGCACUUUAGUGUGUGUGGUGGAAAGUUUUUUCGGUGUAGGAUGAGCUCGCGGCCUAUCAGCUUGUUGGUGGGGUAAUGGCCUACCAAGGCGGCGACGGGUAGCCGGCCUGAGAGGGUGUACGGCCACAUUGGGACUGAGAUACGGCCCAGACUCCUACGGGAGGCAGCAGUGGGGAAUAUUGCACAAUGGGCGCAAGCCUGAUGCAGCGACGCCGCGUGGGGGAUGAAGGCCUUCGGGUUGUAAACGCCGUUCGCUAGGGACGAAGCUUUUUGUGACGGUACCUAGAUAAGAAGCACCGGCUAACUACGUG
rnacentral:rRNA from 1 species